rnacentral:lncRNA from 1 species
CAGACACAACAGAUGGAGGUAGAUUUAUAGGACUGUUCUCACGGCGAGAUGUAAGCAGCAUUGCUUUCCCAAGCUCCAUAAACAGAUGGUUAAUAUGGUAAGAAAGUGACCUCAUCAUGUCACAGCAGGAUGAAUGCUCAGACCUUUUCUUGUCCUCUUCUGACUUCGCAUUUGCAUCAGAUGAACUGGAUGGCUGAUCCUGGGAACUUGAGGGCAACCCUGUACUAGGGUAUCUAUCAGCACCAACUCUGUGAGAGUCAGUAGCUGCACGGCCCAUAUCACGAUAGAUAUUGAUAAGGUCAGACACCUGAGACUCAAUGUUCCACCCAGAGCCCCGUCGCCUUAAAAGAGGAUCAAGAUAUUGCCUAAAGGAGGUGUAUCUGUUAUCAUCAGUGUCGCCCACAGCAGCAUCAACUUGCUGGGCCUCAUUUGCUGAAGGAGAACUAGCUUCAGGCUCUAUUUUCUUCUCAUCAAAAAGUGAAAUUUGCCAAAGCACUUCCCGGUGAACUCUUCCAAUAUCUUCCAGGACAUCCCUGCUGACAUCACCAAAUUCUGAGAGUAGAGCGUUCAUCCAGCGGUUGUCUUUUGAUGCCGCUAGGAAGAGCAGAAAUUCAACAAUAAAAAGUGAUGGAAUGGCUCCUUUUUCCAUCUUAGUCACUUCACAUGACCUAAAAACUGUAUCAAGUUCCUGUAGGGCAUUCUUCAAGUGCUCCUUUAAAGAGGAGCAGAAUGCACGCGCAAGUGGAGUAGAAUGCUGUUGAGUAAAGCCCUUAAAUACCAUAGUGCUGUGCAAAGCAAUAGGCAUCCCACCAGAAGAUUGGGUGAUGGUAGGUCGCAGCAAGAGUGUCAACAGAGUCUGUAGACCUCCCUUUUCUACAAACAGCCUGCAAGUUUCUGAAUUUUCCAUUGUCCUGUGCACCAAUACCAUAACAUGGAAAAUGCUCAAAUGAGAAAACUGCUCAUCAUUAGUUCCAUCUGUGCCAGAAUCCAUGGCACUUACUAAAUCACGCCCUUCAACAUCUGUUUCCAUAUCUGUUUUUUCUUCAGCGCUGGCUGCUUCAGUGAUUUUAUCACCACGAGGACAAGAAAGUUUGUUGAUUAUUUCAAUGAUGAUGUCAACACCAGUACUUCUAAGGGACUGCACAUGACGAAUAAGCUCUUCCACUGCAUUUGCUAAAAGAACAACACCUUCAUUCAUUGGUAUCAGAUAUUUCUUACUAGUGAACGUCUCUACAAGAAAACGCAGCGCUGAAGUUUCCCUGACAGACUCAAGUCC